GAAAGAUUCUAUGAUGAUGUCAUAAUAUAGCCCUUAUGACAUCACCACUCCUUUCAUGGAAACAAAUCCUUGGUGCCUGGAUGACUUGGUAUAUUUAACCAGAGGGAUGGGGGAAUAGGUGUCAACAUCUCUUGCAGGUUUCUUCAGCAUGCAGACAUACAGCAAAAACUCACUUUAUUGAGGGACCUUCUCUCCAGAUUCAGAUGGGUCCCAAAUGCACAAGUCUAUGCAGAAAAGAAUGGAGCCCACAGUUCAUUUCUAUCAAAAAGCUCAGAAGUUGUACUGCCACUGAGCAAAUAAUUGAAACGAGAGCUUGGGGUGAAAGCCAAGGGUCACUGUCUAUGACCCUUACAUUCCUCAUUACAUGACAACUCUCAUGCAAAAAUCCUGGCAGCAAAAUCUAUGUUUCUCACAUCCAUACACAUUUAUAAAUAAGCACCAAAGCCAAGUUCAGAAACAAAGUGCUCUGGAAAGGGUUUAAGCCCUAUAGUGGUCACUAUCUGGACCUGAGGAUGAAUGGCUCUGGGGCCAGGCUCUUGCCAGUUACCUGAGGGGCUCUAUGCUGCCUGCUUUAUGUUGAGAAAGUGGGGUUUCCCCAGAUCUCCCACAUGCACUCCCCUAACACACCUGUAAAGACCUUACUUUUUGGCCAUGGCAUUCCUGAAGGAGGUUUAAGUCAUCAGGCACUUAAAACCCGAGAUGCUGGGUUUGAAGCAAGACAGCCUUCACCACGCCCACUUAGAACUCCAAAAUCCAGCCUUGUUCUGGAAUCCCUGGGGUUGCUUUGAGAUGUCUUCUGCAUGACCAAGCACAGAGCUCCAGUUCCUUCCUCAUCACCAUACUACCACACUUCACCCCAAGUCAACAACCACACUGUAAGAAUUCUAUCUCAAUCCUCCUACGGAUCCCUGGCAGAAGGUCGGUGUGGGGGUUUUCUUCUGUUGCUUGGCUGACUCAGAUCUCUCCUCUGCCUUGAGGAGGCCAAGGUUCCAGGUUUUCUGGUUUCAUAAUAAAUUGGCAGAAAUCUGAAGUGAUGCCAAUAACGCCCUCCUGCCCUCAGGCAUCUGGGUCCCAGUGGGAGGUCUCUUAGCAACCAGGCUCAAAUCAAAUAUUUGGGCAUCUGGACACAUUCAGAUCGGGAUGAGCUCAUCAACAAAAACUUCUCUCUUUCCCUCAGCCCAGCUACCGAGGGUUAGGAAAGACUGCUGAGCCCCCUCAAUCGCCUCCCUGCACUGGGAUAAGCUGUGACUCACGACGGGUGUUCAAUCAGAGGCAGCCCCGGGUUGGCAGGCCAGGUAUCUGGCUUCUAUUUAUGUCUUGAUACGUAUCAUUGGAUGAGACUCGUGAACUUUUUUGUUGCUUUGCUGACAUAAAGCCCAUAGUUUUCAUCUGACACUCUGCAUACAUCUUUUCACCAGAAAUCAGAAUACUCAGGGUCACAGAGGGUGUGAGCUUGUUCAAUUCAGACGUGAACCAAGAGGAAGAAGGCUUUCAAAGCCCUCUUCCCCCAUCUGCAUCCUCCCUGCAAAAUUCCCCACCGGUGACAAAUGGUGAAUGGGAGGGAGAAGGGGGCCUAUGGGUGCUGGCAAGAAAGUUCCACAUUUUGACUUUUCCAGUCCAAACCCCCAGGUUUAUGCUGCCCUGUAUACUCCAAAAAGACUUGCUGUUGUUCAGUCACCAAGUCACGUCCAACCGUUUGCGAUCCCGUGGACCGCAGCAUGCCAGGCCUCCUUAUCCUUCACCAUCUCCCAAAAUUUGCCAAGUUGUCCUUUGAAUUGGUAAUGCCAUCCAACUAUCUCAUCCUCUGCUGCCCUCUUCUCUUUUUGCCUUCAAUCUUUCCCAGCAUCAGGGUCUUUUCCAAUGAGUCAGCUCUUCGCAUCAGGUGGCCAAGGUGUUUGAGGUUCAGCUUCAGCAUCAGUCCUUCCAAUGAAUACUCAGGGUUGAUUUCCUUUAGGAUGGACUGGUUUGAUCUCCUUGCUGCCCAAGGAACUCUCAAGAGUCUUCUUCAGCACCGGGAAAGACUAAACACACCAAAUUUGGCUUUGGAUGCUAAUUCAAAUUGAUAUCUUCAUGUACAAGGGAGGCCUAGCUCAGCUUUCAUGUCUCUAAAAUGGAGCUUUUAAAUCCUAGUCUCCUGAGAAUUCUCUCACCAGAGAGAAUUCAGUGGAUAGGACUGCACUCUCACUGCUGAGGGCCCAGGUUUGAUCCCUGAUCAGGGAGUUAAGAUCCCACAAGCUGUUCAGUGCAGCCAAAAAUAGGCAUUAUCUUUUGAGAGAUGGCUGGUCAGGGCUCCCCUACCUCAACCAGCAUGUACUCAUCAUAAUUAUUCAUUAUACCACCCCCUGGGCUUCUUUAGUUGCUUAUUUCUGUGUGCACAGAUGUCUAACCUCUUCAUUGAGUCCCAGGAGAAAAAUGCAUGUUUCAUAUUCCCUUGGAGAAGGCAAUGGCACCCCGCUCCAGUACUCUUGCCUGGAAAAUCCCAUGGAUGGAGCCUGGAAGGCUGCAGUCCAUGGGGUCGCUGAGGGUCAGACACGACUGAGCGACUUCACUUUCACUUUUCACUUUCAUGCAUUGGAGAAGGGAAUGGCAACCCACUUCAGUGUUCUUGCCUGGAGAAUCCCAGGGACAGGGGUGCCUUGUGGGCUGCCGUCUAUGGGAUCGCACAGAGUCGGACGACUGAAGCGACUUAGCAGCAGCAGCAUAUUCCCUUAUCACCUUUUAGGUCACCUCACCCACAGCCCUGAGGGCAAACACCACUAGGUCUUAAAGAAACGCUGAAUGUAAUGAGCACCCAGACCCCACAAGCCUGAGGAUGCUCCAACGUGGCAGCUUGAAGGGCUCUCCCAGCAGGAAAAGUCAUCUCUUCCUUCAGUGGAAGCAAGAAGUUGGAGGGCAGUGAAGGCAGUGAAAGGAGCGUGGGCUCUGGAGUCAGCGCCAUUGAUCGGCCUUCCCACUUUCUAGCUGCACGGUUUUGGGCACAUUGCCUAGCCGCUCUCAGAAAAUGGAAGGCACAGUAGUACCUGCCUUGCUGGAUUGUUUUCAGACAAUAAAUCAUCACUGUAAAGCAUGUAACUCAAACAUUGUCAAUAAGUGGUGGUUCUUAUUGUCAUUUUUUCACCCAAUCAUUUAAUCAUUAAAUAAAAGUAUCCUUGGGUUACUUAGCUUUCUGAUUACAAAAGUAUUUUAAUUAUUUAUCUAUAAAGCUGCAGAAGAGUACAGACUGAAUAGUCAAGCACAGCAGCUUCAAAGACC
ensembl:lncRNA